CCUACGGGAGGCAGCAGUGGGGAAUAUUGCACAAUGGGGGGAACCCUGAUGCAGCGACGCCGCGUGAGUGAAGAAGUAUUUCGGUAUGUAAAGCCCUAUCAGCAGGGAAGAAAAUGACGGUACCUGACUAAGAAGCCCCGGCUAACUACGGGCCAGCAGCCGCGGUAAUAGGUAGGGGGAAAGCGUUAUCCGGAUUUACGGGGUGUAAAGGGAGCGCAGACGGCUGUGCAAGUCUGGAGUGAAAGGCGGGGGCCCAACCCCCGGACUGCUCUGGAAACUGUAAAGCUGGAGUGCAGGAGAGGUAAGCGGAAUUCCUGGUGUAGCGGUGAAAUGCGUAGAUAUUAGGAGGAACACCAGUGGCGAAGGCGGCUUACUGGACUGCAACUGACGUUGAGGCUCGAAAGCGUGGGGAGCGAACAGGAUUAGAUACCCGUGUAGUC
rnacentral:rRNA from 1 species